GCUUUUUGGCGGCACCAUCCAAACGUUCUCUCUCUCCCUCUCCCUCUCCCUCUCUCUCGCGACACUUCAAAUACUUCCCAAAACCCCUUUACAGAUCGAGAGAGAAAGAUAAAGAGAGAGAGAGAGAUGGGAGCCUUCUACAACGAAGAGUUCUCGCUCUUGCAGCAGCGCGUCAAUUUCCACCCUCUUCAAGAUCGACGGUCCUCGAAGCAAAUCCACGACAACGUCCAUGGAAACAUCUAUCUCGACCAGCUCUGUCUAAAGUUUGUAGACACUGAACAAUUUCAGAGGCUUCGUGAUCUAAAGCAACUGGGUUUUGCGCAUUUGGUUUAUCCAGGAGCUGUACAUUCUCGGUUCGAACAUUCCCUAGGGGUGUAUUGGCUUGCUGGUGAUGCUGUUCACAAACUUCAGAUGUACCAAGGUUCUGAGCUCAAUAUUGAUGGUUUUGAUGCACAAACGGUGAAACUUGCAGGACUAUUACAUGAUGUAGGCCAUGGGCCUUUCAGCCACCUCUUUGAACGCGAGUUUCUUCCGCAGGUUUUUACGGGAUCCAAAUGGUCUCAUGAGCAAAUGUCAGUGAAGAUGGUCGACUACAUUGUUGAUGAGCACUGUAUUGACGUCGAUUCCGACAAACUUAAAAGAGUGAAAGAAAUGAUACUUGCCAGCCAUGAUAUCUCAGUGGGCAAUGCCACAAAAGAGAAGCAUUUCUUGUAUGAUAUUGUUGCAAAUGGUCGAACUGGAAUAGAUGUUGACAAGUUUGACUAUAUUGAACGAGAUUGCAGAGCUUGUGGCCUUGGUUGCAAUUUUGAAUUUCAGAGGUUAAUGGAAUGCAUGCGGGUGAUGGAUGAUGAAAUAUGCUAUCGUGCCAAGGAGUAUCUUACUAUCUACAAACUGUUUACCACCCGUGCUGAUCUCUAUCGAACAGUAUAUACGCAUGCAAAAGUAAAGGCAAUGGAGCUCAUGUUUGUAGAUGCACUUCUAAAAGCAAACAGUUUUCUGGAAAUUUCCUCUCACAUUCACGAUCCAGCUGAAUACUGGAAGUUAGAUGAUACGAUAUUAAAAACUAUUGAAACAGCUCCUAAUGAAGAGUUAAGGGAAUCCAGGGAUUUAAUCUUACGUAUUCGCCGGAGGGAUUUGUACCAGUUCUGUAACGAGUACACUGUUCCAAAGGAUAAACUAGAGCACUUCAAAGACAUCACGCCACAGGAUAUUGUUUGCUCCCAGAAAACUACAGGAUUCACACUAAAGGAAGAGGAUGUAGCUGUGAGCAAUGUCAAGAUUGAUUUGACCCGUGGAAAGGAUAACCCGCUUGAGAGGUCUUUGCACUUUCAGAACCAUGCUAUAUAAACCUGUUUCAUUCCAGUUGUUGCCAUCUUGUGGGAAAGAAAUAAAUUAUGUACUGUUGGCUGUAGCUUCCAAUCUAGUGCGAAAGCGCGAAAGCCAAAGUAUUGUGUUGUGGGAGUUUUCGAGCUCCACAUGCACCUUUACAGAUGGCACACAUGCCAACAGCCAGGGCCCUGAGAUGCCUGUGCAUGAGGCGACCCACCUUGUGGAUGUCCUGGAACAAAAUCAGUAUGAUCCACUCAUCGGUGAACCACCCUGCAUUGGAACAAUGGCGAGUUAAAGAAAAUGCCAAUGGGCUAUGUUCAAUGUACAUGUAUGGUCCGCAUGAGUGGAUUGGCCUGAUUUCUCCACCAAAGUCUUCUCAAUGGAUUACGAUAGUGCAGAGAAAUUUAACAUACAAGAUGAUCGCAUCAGUCACUUGCUUCCUUCAAAUUUUCAAGACCGAAUCGUCAGGGUGUACUCCAAAAAGCCUGAAUUG